UUGUUCAACAAAUACCACUCUCAAGGCUUUCGCUGUCGUUGUUUAGAUUGACGGCAGAGGUUAUAUAAAGAUUUCUAAAAGACACACGAGAGAGAGGGAGAAAGAGAGAGUUGCAUAUAGAAUCUGAAAUUUAAACGAUCGAAACAGAGAAGUGUCGAAACUGAUAUUCGAAAUCUUGAAGCAUGGGAAAAUCAAGACAAGAUUCUAUGACUAAAGCUGAUCGGAAAUUCGAGAAGAAACUUGAAUUUUAUGCCAAGGUUAGGGAUACGGUUGCCAGUUUGACUGCCCAAAAGUCCAUUACUAAGAAAAAGAAGCUCCGAAGUCGGCAGAAGAAAUUGAAAGCAUAUGAUCUGUCUGCACUUACAGAGUUCCUUCCUGAGUUGACGGCUUCUCAGAAACAGCAAUCAACUCCUGCAGCUGAGUUUAAACUGAAUUGUAAAUCUAGACAAAAUCUAAUAUUGAAGGAAGGGAAACAAUUGGGUACUGUUCUUAACCAUCCUGCUUUCCAGUCUGAUCCCCUGGGAGCCAUUCAUCAACACUUACAGAGUACACAACCGGUUAUGGAUGAGAAACCAAAAAAGUUGAGCAAAAAUGGGGGGAAGAAAGUAAAGGGGAAAAAAUGUAAAGCGUCGAAUAAAUGCCAAUCUAUGGAUUUCUGAAUGGGCAUCUGUCUGGAUUUGUGUUGCGGUAACAUUCUAGUUUUGAAUGUUAUUGCCUUUCCAUGUUGAGAAACAACUAAUUUUGAGGAAAUUCCAAAUAUUAAUUGCUGAAGUUGCAUGAGAUUUGCUUGCC
rnacentral:misc_RNA from 1 species